UACAGAGGGGGCAAGCGUUGUUCGGAAUUACUGGGCGUAAAGGGCGCGUAGGCGGCCUUCUAAGUCGGACGUGAAAUCCCUGGGCUCAACCCAGGAACUGCGUCUGAUACUGGAUGGCUAGAGUUUGGGAGAGGGAUGCGGAAUUCCAGGUGUAGCGGUGAAAUGCGUAGAUAUCUGGAGGAACACCGGUGGCGAAGGCGGCAUCCUGGACCAACACUGACGCUGAGGCACGAAAGUGUGGGGAUCAAACAGG
rnacentral:rRNA from 1 species